rnacentral:rRNA from 1 species
GUGGGGAAUCUUGCGCAAUGGGCGAAACCCUGACCCAGCAACGCCGCGUGAAUGAAGAAGGCCUUCGGGUUGUAAAAUUCUUUGACGAGGGAAGAUAAUGACGGUACCUCGAAAACAAGCUCCGGCUAACUACGUGCCAGCAGCCGCGGUAAUACGUAGGGGGCAAGCGUUGUCCGGAAUUACUGGGCGUAAAGGGCGCGUAGGCGGAUCGUUAAGUCAGGGGUGAAAUCCCAGAGCUCAACUCUGGAACUGCCCUUGAUACUGGCGAUCUUGAGUGUGAGAGAGGUAUGUGGAACUCCGAGUGUAGAGGUGAAAUUCGUAGAUAUUCGGAAGAACACCAGUGGCGAAAGCGGCUCUCUGGUCUGUAACUGACGCUGAGGUUCGAAAGCGUGGGUAGCAAACAGGAUUAGAAACCCCUGUAGUCC